rnacentral:rRNA from 1 species
GUAGGGGGCAAGCGUUAUCCGGAUUCACUGGGUGUAAAGGGAGCGUAGACGGCGACGCAAGUCUGGAGUGAAAGCCCGGGGCCCAACCCCGGGACUGCUCUGGAAACUGCGUCGCUGGAGUACGGGAGGGGCAGGCGGAAUUCUUGGUGUAGCGGUGAAAUGCGUAGAUAUCAGGAGGAACACCGGCGGCGAAGGCGGCCUGCUGGACCGUGACUGACGUUGAGGCUCGAGAGCGUGGGGAGCAAA